CUCUGUGACUCCUACGGGAGGCAGCAGUGGGGAAUAUUGCACAAUGGGCGCAAGCCUGAUGCAGCCAUGCCGCGUGUGUGAAGAAGGCCUUCGGGUUGUAAAGCACUUUCAGUUGUGAGGAAGGUGGUGUCGUUAAUAGCGGCAUCAUUUGACGUUAGCAACAGAAGAAGCACCGGCUAACUCCGUGCCAGCAGCCGCGGUAAUACGGAGGGUGCGAGCGUUAAUCGGAAUUACUGGGCGUAAAGCGCAUGCAGGUGGUUUGUUAAGUCAGAUGUGAAAGCCCGGGGCUCAACCUCGGAACUGCAUUUGAAACUGGCAGACUAGAGUACUGUAGAGGGGGUAGAAUUUCAGGUGUAGCGGUGAAAUGCGUAGAGAUCUGAAGGAAUACCGGUGGCGAAGGCGGCCCCCUGGACAGAUACUGACACUCAGAUGCGAAAGCGUGGGGAGCAAACAGGAUUAGAUACCCUGGUGG
rnacentral:rRNA from 1 species